rnacentral:lncRNA from 1 species
UACAUCGGGUGUAUAACCCCUGUUUGCAAACCUACCACAGGGAGAAAGCACACACAGAAGGCGUUUGCAUUUUGUUUGUUUCAGGUGAGUGGCUUUCAAGGUCCAACUAAGGAGGUCACCUGAUCAUUCAGUGUUUGAAAGACACCAGCCAGCCACAGGCAUCCAUCUAACUGACCGGGCCAAUGAAAGACGAGAGCCAGCAGCGGCAUGUGCUGGAAAGAACACAACACCAGAGAUGAGCUGAUUUGAUUCCAGAGGACUGAAGUAUCUAAAUGCAACAUCCAGGCCAGGCAUGCCCUGGCAAAGGACAGCCCCUUCUCAACAUGUGAAGCGUGGGACGAAGGUCCCGAUCUGAGGUUGGGGAUGGGGGGGGGGUGUUGAGAAACGAGGGAAAGGAGAGUAAUGGAAGGAGGGAAACUUGGUAGGGAUGUGGGGGGAGGCAGGCAGAAUUUAGGG